GUACCCUCAAGCUCUGCUUGGUGUUGGGUGUCUGUCCUCUCCCUCGUGUUUGGACUCGCCUUAAAAUGAUUGGCAGCCAGUGUUUUGGUAGUGAAGCGCAGCACAAGUCGCGAUUCUUAUUAAAUACUUGCACCCACAAGCCUUUUUAAC
rnacentral:misc_RNA from 1 species